ensembl:lncRNA
CUGGUACAGUAUGUGGUCUCUGCAGGCAUCUAUCUUCAUGGGGCAUUCUGGAUUCUGGGAGGUAGAAAGUUUUUUAUCCUAAAAUUGUUCAAAGUUAAAUCAAGUUCACAACAAUAACUUGGGCCCCCUGAGGUGAAUAAUAACAAACACAGGGGUUCCUCAGGGAUGCAUGGCUGUAUUAUGGGGUAUAUGAAUCAAUUUGCAAAAGAAAAUUUUUUAAAAAGCAGGAAAAAUCCAAAUAAAAGAGAAAAAUAACUUGUGGAUAUAAUACAAAAUGUAAAAGUAUUAUGUUUAAAAAAACCUAAGUAAAGGAAAAACAAACCCAUAGCAGGUCCUUGAAUUGGGGCCCAAUUAAGAUGAUUUAAGAAAUGAUGCAUUUACCCAAUCAGUAGCCAGGGCUACAGAAAGUUUUGCCCCACCAUGAAAGACAGAAAAGGGACUAGAUUAGAGGAGGCAGGUAGGAGACAAAUUUGAGAUAUUAGGUAGAAUAUGGGUCAAGGAAAACCUGCCUUUAACACAUGUUAAACAGCCAUAACCUCAAACCCCAAACAAAUUCAAAUCCUCUUGUCUUGGCUAAAAAUUACAUCAAUCCUACCAGGAUUGGUUGGUCUCUUUGACCUUGUGCUCGAUUGGCACUAUGCAAUUUAGCUUUGUGCUUCUUUGGCACUGUGCAAUGGCUCUUUUUGUAUUCUCUUGUCCUGGAAUCAGACAGAAUCAUUAAGCAAAGUCUCAUAAUUUUUUUAACAUUUUAUUUGGUCAUUUCCAAACAUUAUCACAGCCCAACCACCCAGGUGUUCAGCUCCGCCCAGAUAAUCAGCGUGUGGUCCACUCCUGGUGUUUAGCUCCACCCAGGUGCUCAGCGCAACUGCCCCGAGUACAGCUCUGCGGACCCCCUGUGCUCAGUGCAGGAUUAUCCGGUGAAACCACCCUGAGACGUUGUUUCCUGGCAGUCCCCAGAUCCCAAGGACCCUGGAGUGCCCCCCCAGACAGAGACGUUCACCACUCACUCGCUGUCCUGGCUUCUCAUGAGCCUCCUGGAGAAAAUAAUUGCCCUGUUUCCAUUAUUUUUCAUGUAACAAAAGUAAAGUACCAAGUGAAAUGACUGCAUGUAUAUUCUUAGCAUGUUGUGAAGGAAGAAUCAAUGAGAAUUUUAGAAUUUCUCAAAUGUCACCUACACCACGACUGCUUCAGAUACCUAGAUAGAAGUUGGGUUUUAAGUGCCCUCAAGGAAUAAUGCCAGUCUUAGAAGAAGGAAGAUUAGGAGCUUGCACAAUGGAGGUAAGGAACAGAGAAAAGGGUAAUUUGAGGAUCAGGGCAAGAGUAGUUCUGAUGUAAAGAACUCCAUCCUAUCUUUGCACUAUGGCUCCUAUGAGGACUAUUUAAUUUUGACCCUUCUUCUAUCUUCCUCAAUUGAUUGAGUUCAUAUCUCUUCCACCAAGCUAUGUCUAUAUUAUACCCACUUAGAAGAUGAGUAUAGGUACUUUGUGUACCUAAGAAUUCUAACAUCUAAUCAUUCUAAGUAAAACUCUUCUUAGUAAAUGUUAUCUUUAAUCGGUUUUGCAGUGAGGUAUUGUUUUUGUUGUUUCUCAUUCAAUAAAGUAGGUGCAAAAUUUCA